GGCGAGUGGCGAACGGGUGAGUAAUACAUCGGAACGUGCCCUGUAGUGGGGGAUAACUAGUCGAAAGAUUAGCUAAUACCGCAUACGACCUGAGGGUGAAAGUGGGGGACCGCAAGGCCUCAUGCUAUAGGAGCGGCCGAUGUCUGAUUAGCUAGUUGGUGAGGUAAAGGCUCACCAAGGCGACGAUCAGUAGCUGGUCUGAGAGGACGAUCAGCCACACUGGGACUGAGACACGGCCCAGACUCCUACGGGAAGCAGCAGUGGGGAAUUUUGGACAAUGGGCGAAAGCCUGAUCCAGCAAUGCCGCGUGUGUGAAGAAGGCCUUCGGGUUGUAAAGCACUUUUGUCCGGAAAGAAAUGGCUCUGGUUAAUACCUGGGGUCGAUGACGGUACCGGAAGAAUAAGGACCGGCUAACUACGUGCCAGCAGCCGCGGUAAUACGUAGGGUCCAAGCGUUAAUCGGAAUUACUGGGCGUAAAGCGUGCGCAGGCGGUUGUGCAAGACCGAUGUGAAAUCCCCGAGCUUAACUUGGGAAUUGCAUUGGUGACUGCACGGCUAGAGUGUGUCAGAGGGGGGUGGAAUUCCACGUGUAGCAGUGAAAUGCGUAGAGAUGUGGAGGAAUACCGAUGGCGAAG
rnacentral:rRNA from 1 species